GUCAGUCCAAAACAAAGAGAGAGUCAUAAUAAGGCCGCACAACCAAGAAACUUGAAAAAAAUAAAGAAAAGAUUUAAUAAGGAAUCGAGAAAACAAUUGGGAAUUGAGGAAAAAUGCUGUUGGUAAGCCAAGGUCCGGGAGGAGCUCUGUCAGCCAGAAGAUGUACUCGCAUAUCCCCUCUUCAAUUCGCCCACAAAAAUCCACCUCUUUUCUCUAACAUCACUGGACCAAAAUUCAUAUCCAAGAGACCACCCUUUUAUCCCAAUCUCGCUAAGGUUGAUGGAGGUGUAGAUUCUACCUCUGCAACCAAGCAACCUCUUUCUAACAACAAUUCAGCUCCUCCUCCUCCCCCUUUUAGCAGGGACGACCCUGUUUUCGUGGGUCCAGAUAAUGUUCCUUUGGAAGGCGUCAUCCAGUUCGAGAAGCCCACCUCUUCUUCACGUCUGGACAAAUGGGGUCGAGUGGCUUUAUUUUCUGGUGGAGAUGUAUUGGCUUUGCUUUUGUUCUCUGCAAUUGGGAGAUUUAGCCAUGGCUUCUUUGUUUUUGACUUUGAGACGCUGCGCACUGCUGACCCUUUUAUUGCUGGUUGGUUUUUGGGCGCUUACUUCCUUGGGGGUUAUGGAGAAGAUGGCCGUGGAAUGAAUGGUGUUUCUAAAGCAGUUAUUGCUGCCCUUAAAUCAUGGGCUCUGGGGAUUCCACUGGGAUUAGUCAUAAGGGCAGUAACAUCAGGACACAUUCCGCCGUAUACUUUUAUCUUAGUAACAAUGGGAAGCACUGCUGUUUUACUUAUUGGAUGGAGAGCACUAUUAUCGACCAUUCUUCCUAAUAAUGAGAGUAAGAAGGAUGAUGUAUACCGGAGUGGUAGUCCCUUUGAACUAUUUGAGUUGCUCACAUCAUUAGUACGGAGGUGGUGAUUAUGAUAGCUUGCGUGAUGUUAUUUAUUUUCUCUCAAGGCAUCAACUUUUUCUGUUUUUUGACUUCAUACUCUUUGUAGUUACCAGCUACGAAUUUAACAGGUUGUGUCGUGUAAUGUCGCAUAUCGUCUCUGCCUUCUAGGGCCAUGUAUGGGAAACAAAAGUGUGCAUGAGAAAUUGGGUGAUGUAUAUUUAGCAUGUAUGAACUACCCCCUUAGGGUAAAAAAAUGGAUAUUUUAUUCUGAUUCUGCUGCUGAUGCCGGAACAGAUGUCUGGAAUGUUUGUCUGAUUCGUCUAUUGUCUAAAAUGAUGCUGAUGCAUAGGGGGCACGUACCUUGAUACCUCAGUUUUGCUUUUUGCAGUUCACCUGCAGGGCAAUUCUGGUUGGCAAAAGAGACUGAACUUUGUAUCUAUUGGUUGUCUUUCCAAGGGCAUUGAGAGUUGAGACCAAAAGAUCUUAUACUAUGUUCAAAUUUACCCUAUUAACUAAGGAUUCGCAUUCUACUGUUUUUUUCUCCUGCUGUUGCUUUCUUUUUUUUUUAAAGAACAAAAAAAGGGAGUGUGGAAGGAAUCUCAGUUUAUGUGGUAAAAGCUGGUUCUAUGCAA